CACACUGUAAACGAUGAUAACUCGCUGCCGGCGAUACACAGUCGGUGGCCAAGCGAAAGCGAUAAGUUAUCCACCUGGGGAGUACGACCGCAAGGUUGAAACUCAAAGGAAUUGACGGGGGCCCGCACAAGCGGAGGAACAUGUGGUUUAAUUCGAUGAUACGCGAGGAACCUUACCCGGGCUCGAACGGUGCAUGAAUAUACAAGAGAUUGUAUAGUCCUUCGGGACAUGUAUCGAGGUGC
rnacentral:rRNA from 1 species